rnacentral:misc_RNA from 1 species
CUGUUGUCGCGUGCGUCGUCUCAUAUGUCCAUCAAGUGCAUAUUUAUAAGACUUGGUGACAUUGGUUUCCUGUGUUGGCUACCUUUUCAAAGGAAUUCUCGUCCCAACUCUCGUUUCAUUCCAUCGGUGGGCAUCCCUCUGUGGAUUGUCUUGGUGGACCUUCAAGUGUUUCUCGUGUGCCAUUCACGCUACAUUUUUAUGCGGCGAUGACAUGGUCCAUGGGUUGCUACUCGUAAUCUCGGAUUCGGAACAUGUUGUGGGUAUGUGGUGCUUUAUUGCUCCAUCUGCCCAAGCAGAGCUUCUGUUGCUCGGCAAGAACGACAGUCGUGCUCGUGUUGACCUCUCCGGCAUGCAUGUGCUCGGUUUGGCUCAUGCGACGCCCGACUUCGCAAAGGAAUGCUACC